GACGUAGGAUGCAAGCGUUGUCCGGAUUUAUUGGGCGUAAAGAGUUCGUAGGUGGUUUGUUAAGUCUGAUGUCAAAUACCGAGGCUCAACCUCGGACCUGCAUUGGAUACUGGCAGACUGGAGUGCAGUAGAGGCGAGUGGAAUUCCCAGUGUAGCGGUGAAAUGCGUAGAUAUUGGGAAGAACACCAGUGGCGUAAGCGACUCGCUGGGCUGCAACUGACACUGAGGAACGAAAGCCAGGGGAGCGAAUGGG
rnacentral:rRNA from 1 species